rnacentral:rRNA from 1 species
UCUUAAAGUUUAAUUUUUAAGUCUAAUCUGCUCACUGAUUAAUUUUAAAGAGCCGCAGUAUUUUGACUGUGCAAAGGUAGCAUAAUCAAUAGUUUUUUAAUUGAAAACUGGAAUGAAAGAUUGGAUGAUAAAUUUACUUUCUUAAUUUUAAAAGUUGAAUUUAAAAUUUAAGUUAAAAUUCUUAAAUUUAUUUAAAAGACGAGAAGACCCUAUAGAUUUUUAUUGUUAUCUAAAUUUUGUUAAAAUUAUAUUUUUAUAAUAAUUUAAUUGGGGUGAUUUUGUAAUAUAUAAAACUUAAUUUUUUAAAACCAUAAAUAAUUGAAUUUUUUGAUCUAAAAUUUUUAAAUUAAAGAUUAAAUUACCUUAGGGAUAACAGCGUUAUAUUAUUUAAGAGUUCAUAUCUAUAAUAAUGUUUGCGACCUCGAUGUUGAAUUAAGAAAUGUGGUGGGGUAGAAAUUACCACUAAUUAGUCUGUUCGACUAUUAAAUUCU